AAUGUACUGAGUAUGUAAGGCAAUAUACUGAAAGUUGAAACUGAACUAAUAAUAUAAUAAUUGUAAGUAGCUGGAAGUCAAAGAUAAUCUGAAGAUAUGCUUACCUGCUAAUACUGACUCAACUCUUUCAAUAUAGUAAGUACAAUAGUUGUUCGGCCCUGUAAGGCUUGCUCAUAGGCGCACGACCAUACUAGGCUUUGUAUAUCGACCAACUGGACUAGCUCAUAGGCGCUCGGCCAUAGUAGGAUUGGUAUGUAACUUACCAUCUGAUCAGAGAUUGUCCAAUAAGGGCCUGCCCAUCGAUUAUAACUUGAUGGUAAUGAAAAUACUUUAAUACUGUAUAUUUAAACACUCUGCUCUCUUGACCGGAAGAAGAAAAUACUCAAUUGAAUAUGAAGUCCCGAUAAGGAGAAUAUUGUAACUAACAAAACUAGGAAAAUAUACGUAAUUUGUGAGACUAGCAAAAUAUAUGUAAAUUCCGGGAUAUGAAUUUUUCCAUAUUCCUCGUUAUCAAACUUGUGUAAUGACGAGAUCAAGCAAAAUAAAAUAAGGGCUUAGCCUUAACAUACAUGCUCCUUGAAUUAUUUGCACGAAAUGAAGCUUCUGCUCCUUUGAACUUGAACAAAAUUGAUGCUUGGACUCUAUAAAAUUAGAACAAAAUUAUUUCUGCUUGUCUAGAUUUUGGGGCGUUAGUCCCUUUUGUCCAAAUCAAAAAGCUAGUCUACUGAACCAUCACGUUUUCUUGGAAUGAAUUGAAUAAAUUCAUAAUCUUGCUAUUGUUUGUCUUUGUAAUGGAAUGAAUUGGAAUGGAUUGGAAAGACUUGUAUUUGUAAUGGAAUGAGUUGGAAAGACUUGUAAUGGAAUGAAUUUGGAAAGACUUGGAAGAAAAUCACGUUUC
rnacentral:lncRNA from 1 species